rnacentral:rRNA from 1 species
GAUGAACGCUGGCGGCGUGCCUAAUACAUGCAAGUCGAGCGGACAAAACAGGAGCUUGCUCCUCUUUCGUUAGCGGCGGACGGGUGAGUAACACGUGGAUAACCUACCCCUAAGACUGGGAUAACUUCGGGAAACCGGAGCUAAUACCGGAUAACAUAGUAGACCGCAUGGUUUUAUAUUGAAAGACGGCUUUGCUUUCCACUUACGAAUGAUCCCGCGCCGCAUUACCUAGUUGGUAAGGUAAAGGCUUACCAAGGCGACGAUGCGUAGCCGACCUGAGAGGGUGAUCGGCCACACUGGAACUGAGACACGGUCCAGACUCCUACGGGAGGCAGCAGUAGGGAAUCUUCCGCAAUGGGCGAAAGCCUGACGGAGCAACGCCGCGUGAGUGAUGAAGGUCUUCGGAUCGUAAAACUCUGUUAUUAGGGAAGAACAAAUGUGUAAGUAACUAUGCACGUCUUGACGGUACCUAAUCAGAAAGCCACGGCUAACUACGUG